GAAGAGAUAGUGCAAGGAAACCUGAGGACAGUGAAGAGAACAGACAACAUUUUUACUAGUUAGUCUAUCUUGCCAUUUUGCAUUGGAGGAGGUGCAAAGAGAAGAGCUCCACAAAAGCCAGAAGUGGGAAGAAGGAGCGACAAGGGGAGUUACCACCUGCUCGCCUGGGAACGAGCUGCAGCUCUAACCACUGCCAAGAGGUGCUUGGAGAGGAGAGGGAUGAAGGUGCUUUGAGUCAGAAGAUAAAUGGAGUGCUUACAACAGAGGUAGAUAAAGGGAAAUAACUACGUAUUAAGGCAUUUUGUAGUGUUACAGUGCUAAAUAGAG